AGAACGAACGCUGGCGGCGUGGAUAAGACAUGCAAGUCGAACGCGACUUAUCGAGUUAGCAAUAACUUGGUGAGUCGAGUGGCGAAAGGGUGCGUAACACGUGGGAAUUUACCAAGAAGUGGGGAAUAGCUCGACGAAAGUCGAAUUAAUACCGCAUGUGAUCGAAAGAUCAAAGUCGGGGACCGCAAGGCCUGACGCUUUUUGAGAAGCCCGCGGCCCAUCAGCUAGUUGGCGAGGUAAAAGCUCACCAAGGCUAUGACGGGUAGCUGGUCUGAGAGGACGACCAGCCACACUGGAACUGAGACACGGUCCAGACACCUACGGGUGGCAGCAGUCGAGAAUUUUUUCACAAUGGACGAAA
rnacentral:rRNA from 1 species